GACGAACGCUGGCGGCGUGCUUAACACAUGCAAGUCGAACGAUGAAGCCGGAGCUUGCUCUGGUGGAUUAGUGGCGAACGGGUGAGUAACACGUGAGUAACCUGCCCUUGACUCUGGGAUAAGCGUUGGAAACGACGUCUAAUACCGGAUACGAGCUAGGACCGCAUGGUCACUAGCUGGAAAGAACUUCGGUCAAGGAUGAACUCGCGGCCUAUCAGUUAGUUGGUGGGGUAACGGCUCAGCAAGACGACGACGGGUAGCCGGCCUGAGAGGGUGGCCGGCCACACUGGGACUGAGACACGGCCCAGACUCCUACGGGAGGCAGCAGUGGGGAAUAUUGCACAAUGGGCGCAAGCCUGAUGCAGCAACGCCGCGUGAGGGACGACGGCCUUCGGGUUGUAAACCUCUUUUAGCAGGGAAGAAGCGCAAGUGACGGUACCUGCAGAAAAAGCACCGGCUAACUACGUGCCAGCAGCCGCAGUAAAAC
rnacentral:rRNA from 1 species